UGGGAUCACUGCACGUCGACUCUUGUCCUACAAGGCCACAUCUUGUUAGUGAACACCCAAACAAGAUGGGUAAUGAUUCAGCAAGAUUCUCUUUUCUUUUCUCCUGCUUUCUUUUUGUCCUAAUCUUCCAAAACUAUGCCGUACAGCAAAAUUUCUUUUAGGAGAUUAAAUUCAAAGAUGAAAAAGAAAGAGAAAAAAGAAAAAAUAGAGCAGAACUUUAGACGAACCAAAAAAUAUCAUGGUGGCAUAGCAGUUCCAUUUGAAUAGAAAUUUGUUGGGCAAAGUUUCUGAGAGAGCAAUAUCCUAAUCAUAAUAGAGUCGCAAAAACUUUCGACUGAACUCCUAGAAUGCAAUAGACAGUUCUAUAAUAACUUUUUUUUUUUUUUUUGCUGCAACGAUAACAUACCUACAACCUAAUCUAUCAUAUUCUACAGGGAGAGGGAGCCUAAAAGAGGCUGUAUAAGAAGCUAGCAGCUGUACAGACCCGACUAAACCAAAGGAGUGCUCUGGCACCUCCUUUGAAUUUUUUUCACUACAGGUGCGUUUCGAACCCCCAACCUACAACCCAAAGAGGGACUUGAUCUCUUUUUGGUGUCCACUGAGCCAAAGUUUGGUGGCUCAGUUCAAUAAUAACUUUCAGAAAAAAAAAACAACAGAAAAAGAAACCUCCCAAACACAAGGAUUCAGCAAAAAGAAAAGGUAACAGAUUAAAGUCACCAUUUUCUAUCACCAGAAAUAUCAGAAGACCAGAAUUUAUCCACACACCUCCAGUUUUACGAACAACAGGGAUCGAACCAUAUCUCAUUGCUGUAAGUUGAGUGAGUCCACAUGGCUCAAAAAUUGAAGGGACCAAAAUAAAAUCUGCACCAGCAUAAAUCUGCAAUUUCAAAUGAACCAUUUAAUACAAGUGCAACUGGAAAAUAUAUGUGAAACUGGAGAGGAAGUUCCACAAGUGAAUACCAAGUGAGACAGAGGUUCAUCGUAGGUCAGGCAAAGGCGUGCACGGUCAUUAUGAGAAGAAUGCAAUUGAUUUGCCAAAUUAACAAAAUCAUUUUGGAUGCGUGGAUCAGGAGCCGAACCCAGCAGGACAACCUGCACCAUAGUCCGUUAAAACACCAAAUACAGGGUUGACAUAUCAACCACUUCCUAAUUGGAAACAAGCAUCAGAACUUUCAACUCAUCGAUGUAUAUGCACAUUAUGGUCAUUUUAGUAUGAUUUACUUCACAAUCAUACAGCUCAUUUAUCCACCCAAUGCUCCAAACCACCCAGAUAGAGAUACACAGGUAAGUUGACAUCACAUGUGAAUAUACAAAAAGUAGGCUAAAGGGCAAGUUUAGAUUGAUAUCAACAACACGUCAAAACUAAAAAAUUUCAUUGUUAUUAAGAAACUACAAAAGUCCAUGGUAUAGAUUCAUAUCUGGUGAAGAGUCAAAUGCAAUCCUCGAACAAUCAGAUGCAGGGUAAGCAAUCAGUUAAAUUUGAACCCUAUGAGCAACCGGAGAAGGAAGUAAGAAGCAAAAAACCUGUCCACCGCGGUCCAAAGUGCGCCAAAUUGCAUGUUUUAUUAGGUGGAUCCCUUUCUGGUGAGUCAAACGACUGAUAAUUCCUACCAGAGGCAGGUCUGCCCUUUUCAAGCCAAGCUUCUGCUGCAAAACUUCUUUAGCAGCCCUUUUGCCUUCAAUAACAUUUUCUGAAGUGUAAGAUACCUGCAAUAAUUAGUAAUGCAUUAGCAUUAUACAAAUUUAGACAGGAGAGAAUUUUCUAGUUUCAAAAAAUGGCCUCCCUUUUAUGGUAUAUUGUCAGACCAUGGCUGGAGACUCAAAAAAGUUUAAAAAAAACAUUUGAGGUCCUCUAUGGAAAUUCUCCUCCUCUUAAAUGUUUCCUCAAUUAAUUUAUUUCUUCUUUACAUAAGGAAACCCAAAAAUUUGCAGUAAGUGACCAAACAUUGUCUUCAUAGGCAUAAUCAACAUAUAGAGCCAGCAACAUACUAGGCAGUCACAUAAUGCAUAGAGCAUUCAAACACAUAUCAAACACAAAUUUGGAAUGCUUGGGCCCCAAUUAACAUAUGGAAAACUUACCCCUUCGCAAGAGCAUAUCACAAAUUGAAGCUUAAGAAACCACAGUACUAGAGCACUCUUCAUGCAUUAGUUAUGAUGGAUGAUAACAUCAAUGCUGCAGAUUUAGCCUAUCAAAAACUAGAAUUUGCUCAUUAAACAAAUUAUAGCUCCAUAGAAUCGAAAGUAAGAAGAUUAAAUAGCUGCAAAAGGGGACCAAAAUUUUAUGCAAAGCACAAAGAACAUUUCAAUUGAUUCGUUCAAGAAAGCAGAAAGUCAUCUAGAUCAUCUAAGAGCAGCUGAAAUAUACAGGACAUGCACAAAAAGACUCCCAUAGAGCCACUUAUCGUCCUUUAGCUUCUACCAAGAUUAAACCUCAGACUGCUUAGUUCAUUACACACAAUGUUUUUUAGCAGUAACUAAUCUCUUAUCUUACAGUGUCUCCUUCAGUUCUGUUUGUACCUUCAGUAGCCUUACCCUAGCCUGCUGCUCCACAAAGCUCUAAAUUCUAUCAUCAUCUCCAGAAAAGUAUCUCAUUCUGUACUAGAUAAAACCUAUCCCCAGUGCAAAUAUCCAGCAGUACCAAAUAAUUGAUCAAUAUCAAUUGGUGUUGAUGUUAUUUAGACGGCAAGGCACACUAAAUCUGCUAAAAGUUGAACAAAGUACUGAAGUAGCAAAUACCAUAACCUUCCUAAAGUCAGGCAUCCAUAAAAUAACAAGUCAAUGAUAUAACAAAAUGGAAUUUAACAAGAUAGAUUUAGUUUUACUCCAUUAUGGGUAAAAAGAUGAAUGAAGGUACCAGAGAAGCAGGGAAAAAGAAGAUCAAAAAAUUUUAAUACUUACAGGAAUGAAUUUAUCAUUAUAAGGGUCCCAUAUGUCUGGGUCAAUGCCAUUUAGUAUUCCAUGGAACUUGUAAAGAUGAGAAGCAACUGCAGGAUUUCCUGAGACCUCCUGCGAAUAAGUGGGGGAGACCUAAAGCAAAAGACACAUUCAGAGUCUUAUGCCGUCUGUGAUACUGAUUGAAGAAACUUUUUUCAUUGCAACAGAAGGUAAAGAAUAUAAUCAUUAACAGGCUGGAAAAUGAGUAUAGAGUAUAUCAGGCACUCACAGUUGUAGCCUUAUCAGUGUAUGCCAUUGCUUUGCCAAUCAAAUGUGCUCCAAAUUCGAGGUUAUGUAUUGUGAAAACAAUGCGGGCUUUACUAAGACCAUAGUGCAUAUAUUGUUCUUUGAAUAACCAUGCAACUGGAGCACUAGACCAAUCAUGACAAUGAAUAAUGUCCUGUCAAAACAAAAGUAACAGUAAAUGUCAUCAAAGCAAUGGACUCUCAAUUUUGUUCCUUGCACGUACUCUAAUCAGGCCUUUGUACGUACUGCCUACAAAUUUCUUGGAUAUUAUACAGUUAAAAAAUUGGUUUUACUGCUCGACAGACAGAGAGGACAAAUGGAAGCACCAGGAGAAAGGAAAAGAAGAUAGCAAGAAUAUACUUACUCUAUGUACCUUUACAAAGAACUAACAUGAAAAUCAAAAUCAGAACAUCAGAAGUUAAUUACACCUUCCUUUGUUUUCUCAAAAGAAGUAGGCUCCAGCUUGGUUCAAACUAAAAUUGGUUUUAAGGUAUUCACAUUUAGCUUUUACCUCUAAAAUAUUUUUUUUUUAUUUUGAACUUGAGAAAUGGUUCUUCAACAGGAAAAGUCCUGUGUAAAUAAUUUUUUUACUAACUUGUAGGUUAUUUUUUUCCAUGUCAAUGGGAAGGUGACAUUGGCAGCAACAAGAGUAAAAAUAUAGUUUUGGAGAACAGUGGCUUCAGCAUUUGGGCCAACACGUGCUCUCUUUUAAACUUUGAAACAGCUUUUCCAGAAUGUAUUCUUUUCAGAAGCUUUUUAGCUUCUCCAGAAAAGAAAAGUCAUCUCUGAUUAUGUGCAUCUUUUUAGAUAUCAGAGCAAUCUAUACGCAAGAAGUGCCUCCAUUCACACAAUGCAUCACUCAUCAACAUGAUCAGAGAAAUUGGAUAUAGUACUUUAACAAACCACUCAUACAUCAGAUCUGAACAAAACUAAAAUUUAUUUUCUUAAUGGUGAAUGACUGUUACUUUAUGAAAAAUUAGACUUACUGGAUGGAAUCCACUUUGCAAAAGGAACUCAAGAGCAACAUGACAAAAGAAACCAAAUCUUUCACCAUCGUUAUGGCAACCAUAUAUACAGCCUUUCCCAAAAAACCUGCCACAGGCAAAUGAAUGUAUAAUACAACAGCCAUUUCCCCUAAACAAAUUUACAAAGACCUAGGGAAAGAACAUAUAUGAUGUAUAAUUGUACUGAAUAUGUGAAGUAACUGAGAAACAACUUCAUUCUCUUUUUUAUCAUCCUUCAUAAGGUUGAUUUUCCCCACUCAACAUUUCAGAGAGAACGAUAGAAAAAAUGUAUCUAAAAACAUAGUGAAACUGAAAUCUCAAACUGCACCAAACAAAUUGACAUUAGUUAGCCAAUUAUCAAUUCAUAAUAAAGACUUCACUCACUGCACCAUUUCAUUUUCUCAGGUAGACAACUUAGAAGUUGAUCUACCCUUCUACUUGUUGGAAGAAAGCAAACAUGCACAUCCAGAGACAAAGCAAAACUCUAGACUCAAACGAUAGAAACAGAUGGCAUGAAAAGUUCUCCUCUUUACUAGAUGAUAACAUAAGUGAAGCUUACAAUAAAAUGCACAAAAUAGGCAAAAUAAUAUAAACCUUCAUUAUGAAAUUGUAAAGGAAUCACAUGCCAAGGUUCAUCAAAUUCGUAGUAGCAAUCAAGUUGUUGGAACAUGUAUAAGGAAAGAAAGGAUCUAAAUAAAAAGUCACGUCUCUGUUGAUUCAGAACUCAAAAGAAGAAGAGACACAAUACAUUACUUCAGGAAACAUAAAUUUCCAAGCAAAAGGAAAUACCAAGUUUCCCAUUUCUCCAAUGAUAUGGCAACCAGGAACAAAUUCUCAAACUGAGUAAAGCUUCUAUGUGUUCCUGUCAAAAAUUUUAGACGAGACAGCUAUACUAAUACAGUUUUUUCCAGAAAUUUGUUCUAUCUUGUUUAGCUUAUUUUCUGUGAGACAAUCAGAACCUAAAGAUCCGAAACAACCUUUUAAGGGAUAACAUUUCCAGAGAGAAAGAGUUUAUAGUGCAAAAUAUGAAGGCGGGGAUAGGCUAUCAUCUUAAAUGAUCUAUCAACUAUGAUGAGUUGACUCAUAUCAAUUGAAUGGUCAACUGAGAUGUAGAUUCCAAGACCACAUACUUAGUAUAAUUACUUGCAAUGGAAAAAAAAAAAUAGCCCCAUUUAGUUGUAAUUACUUUUUUCUAAUUUGACCAACUCUUUAGUUCCAUUUUGUAUUUUGAAACUGCCAAGAAGAAACAUGCACUUCAACACAAAUUGAUUUUCGUGAGAGCUAUGGGUACAUAAGAGAGGGAAGUAAAGCCCUCUCAAGGAUAAGAAGAUAUGAGGAGGCCAUAAGUUGGGAUACAAGUUACCCAUAUUAAUUACCCAUUUUUCAAAGAACAAAUCAAGAAACAUAAUACCUUUCAUGUCAUGUGAUUUGUGUAGAAAGAACUUUCCUACAAAUAACUCAAAAGACUAAUUUUAUCAAGAACAUUUGAAUGUACCACAAUAAUAAAAAGAAUCAGGAAGCAUUUUAGCAAGAGAAGCUAAAAUAUUGAGUAUAUUACUGGUCAUCAAGUACUCCCUAAAUAGUGUUUGCACUAUACAGCAAAAUCGUAGUAGAAUUAAACAAGGGGACCACAGAAAAAAAGGAGUAUGGGUAUUACAGCAAUUACCCAUUUUGAGGCUCCAAAAAGUAGACAGAGAGGCCUUCCACCUUGCCAAACCAAACUUUAAUUUCAGUCCCACCCCAAGAAUAGCUUUUAUGAAACUGAAAAUCCUUGACCUGUUUCAAAUGACAUAGAGCUAAUCAGCUCUCGAGCAAAAGGUUACUAGUUCAGCCAACAGAUUAUGAGGAAGCACUUCCUAUAAAAAUAACAUCUAAGAUGGUUUUCCUGAUUGGCUAACAAUAUUAGCAUAAAAAGAGAACUGGUCAUACAGAACAAUGGAUCAGGCACUAGAUCUCUACAUUUCAGGAAGCAAAUAUCCAGAAAUAUUGUGUAAUAUACAUCUGUCUAUAUAUUAGUGUAGUAAGACUUCUGUUGAGUUAGAAAUAAUCAAUGAUGUGCAAUCAUCAUAGUACUGCAAUGACUGCAAUAGUCAGACUGUUUCAACUGCCCAAUGACGGCAUUUAAAAAAUAUGACUGAUCCAUAAAAGUACACAUUUAAUACAUUGGAAGAAAUAUUCCAUCAAACUAAGAGAUCAGAAAAGUAAAUAAAUAGAAUCUGCAGGCCACUAUUCACAGCCGUAAGGAAGACAUGACACCCAGCCAUAUAAACAGAUGAAAACUUACAUGGCUAAAGUUCAAACAGUCAUACUUCGGAAGGAUAACAUCUACACUAUGUUUUAAAUCCUGUACAGCACGGGAAAGGCUAGUGACAACAUCACCAAGGCCUCCCACCUGUUAAAGCAUAGAGAAAAUUGCAAAAAUGAGUAGAUGACCACAGCCUUCAUCAAAAUGGUUUUGAAAUUACAAGCAUGAAUCAACUGCAACACCAAUCCUAAAUGGUACAAAUCACAUGCAUCACAAAAAAGAAGUUUCUCCCAAACCAUCAGUAUAUCAGAGAAAGAAACAGUUGAAACUGUUACUACUUUCUUGAUAACAGUUGGAGAAAUUAAUCAAGGACAAAUGAGCAAGUGUGUUGUGUUCACUUUUUGACAUAUCUGAAAAAACCUUGAAACCAACCUUUGCAAUGGGAGCCAUUUCAACUGAAAUAUGCACAAUAUGCAUCGGGGGUUCCUUGAUAACUCCUCCAAUAACAGGUAUGUGAUAGUCCAUGCCAUUCUUGUUGUCAAAAAUUCCACCAUCCUCUUUCUCAGAGAAUACAAAGUCCAUCAUAUAUGCAUCUAAAGGAACCUUAACUAUGGGAAAGAAAAAGGCAUAAGAAUAUUAUUUUGGAUGUAUUCUUAUUCAAGGUUUACUUGCAAAUGAAUAAAAGAUACAUCCAGCAUGUAUAUAGUCUUAAGAGUGCUGAGAAAAUGGAAUCCAUAUUCACGCAAUGUAUCAUGAAUACAGGUGGCUGCAGAUAUGCAUCACUUAUUGUUAAUCUUCCUACUAAGCCAUGAAUUGGUUCUACCAAACUGUGCAUGUAAAAUUUACAGGAUGCUACUUUUUUUAUUUGUCAUGGUUGCGUUCCAGAAAAGUUUUAUGCAGAAAAGUUUUAUGCAAUUCAGAAAUUUUAGUUACACAUCAUAAGUUUGUAUUGUAAGCAUCCAAAACAUCACAGACGACUAUUAGCCACCUUAUCUUGGGUCAGAGCAAAUGUAUGUGCAGAAAAGGUAAACAGAGGUCUGCCGAAAGGUUCUGAAAGAACAAAUUAAAUAAAAUUUUGAUCUAGGGAAGCAAAGACUUCAGUCAGUUCUUCCCCAGAUGAAAAAUGCCUAGCCUUGUUAAAUAUCAAAAUGCAAGCAGGAAACAGAAUAAUCUGUUAAAGAAAACUAAUAAACCUAAAAAUACUUCCUCGCUGUACAUAGUAGCAAAAAAUACACACCAGUUGCUUUAACAUGAGAACUUUGAUCAGCAGGCAACAUUCUCUGUGGUGGCAAUGGACCCAUACGGUGAGUCCAACGAUUGAAUGAGAAUCUGAACCAAAUUUCAGGCUUCCCAUUCAAGACUGUGUUGGUAGGAUUAUAGAAAACAGUUGCAGCAUUCCCAGCUUGGACAUCAAGAGGUUCAGUGUAGACAAUAUGCUUUUGAGAUAAAAGAAAUGUUUUCAAAGUUCUUUCCUUUGUUUCUGCUUUCAUCCAUGCUGUCUUCUCAGCCUACAGAUGGCAGAUCACGAGAGAUUAAGAUUUAGAUAUAUCAACAGAAAUUUUUCCCAUAAAGAAAAAUUGAAUUGGACUGAUUUUUUUUUUUUUUUUUUUUGGGGUGGGGGGUUGGAAGGGCACAGGCAGCAGUUAGAAAAGAAUUUCUCUACUCCAUCAAUUUUGCAUCAUAAAGAAUUGAAAUCAAGGUGCCAUUUUGACAACAUCUUUUGAAUAUAUUUUUCAAAACAUCAACCUUAGCACGGAUGGCCUCCUCUCUGAUCCGUCUCUCCUCUUGGAGAUUUUGGUAUAUCUGAUGCUCUUCUUCAACCCAAUAGUGAUCCUCAGGAACACGCCGUGGAACAAUAGCACGGAAAUCCUGCCUAUCAUUGUUAUCGUAAACCCUUGCUUGGUGAGGUGGACCAUCAGCAAAAACCCAGUCCAAGACAAGGGCACGAUUAGGCACAACAACUGUAAACAAAAUAAAAAUAGAUCAGAUAAAAUUGCAACAUCAAUGGAAAAAGAAAGCUGAAGAAGAAGUGCAUGAAGUUUUCAGAGAUACAAACAUCUGUUGCAAAUAAUAUAUUAUGUCUCUGCAAGUAAAAAAAUGGUUCAAGUAAUUAUUAAAAAAAAAUUUUAAGUGUUUAUCAUAAACGCAAAAAUUCAGUAAAAGAUGCACAAAGAAAUCUCCAACAAAUAGUGCACAACUGUAGAUCUCCGAAUAGGAAGAAUUUCAGAGAUUCAUGAUAAAUUAAGAAUCUGCAUGAACUCUGAUAAACAGGUUCAUAUUAUCACUUCAGGAAAUGAGAUUCUCUCAAAGAAAUCAAUACUGAUGGAAUCCAAUUUUAUCCUUCAAAAGACUAGCUCUACCCAGUCUAAGUACCGAUUCCCCAAAUCCUAACAAACUAGAAAUCAGAUGAAGCACUUCUUAUGUAAGGUAAACAUUUUACUUGACAAAAAGAAUCUUCAUAUCAUACUCUAUCAUGAAUACCAACAUGCAUCAUUGAUCAUUCAAAUCACAUAGGAUAUCAUACUUACUUUCAGCAUACCACCAAUCUCCACUUUUCCUCUCAGAUCUGGCAAGCUUUGUUGAGAUGGACAGCCCAUCCUUCCACUUAUUGUGACCUCCAUGCAGCCAUAACUCCUCAGCCUGAAUCAAUGGACCUGAGCUCUUUUUAUAGAACAACCUGACCUUGUCCCCACCUUUAAAAUCGCUAGGUUCUAUGUGCCAGACAUCAUCAACAGACUUCGCAGCCUUUUUUAUCCACUCUUUCAACAUUUCCUGUCUCCUUGCAGCCUCCUCUCUUGCCUGUGCUCUAUCAGCCUCACGUGCAGCUUUCUCUGCUUCUAUGCGCUUCUGUUCUUCUUCAUGUCUUUUCCUUUCAGCUUCCUCCUUCGCAAGUUUCUCCAACUCCUUGCGUUUCUCCUCAAGCAAGAAAUCUUCAAACUCAGGAACAGUCAUACCACCUUCAACAGUAAUGCAGAAAUCUUUUUUGUCAUUAUUAUCAUAGACAUCUUUUCCAUUGUAGAACACAAAAUCUAUCUUGUAUGCUUCCUUAGGAACAUGGACCUGGCAAGCCCACCAAUCACCAUUGAGACUUGUCUUAUCCAACUUCGUAGUAAAAGACUUCCAUCGCCAGUCAUUAAAGGCUCCCAUUAUCAGUACGUCAGGUUCAUUACUCAAUGUGGAUAGACUUCUAUUGAGGAACACUUCUAUAUCUUGAUCAGGUUUUACCAAUUCAGGAUAACAGAAUAAUCUGUUUCCUUUCUCAAAAUUUUCUUCAGCAAGCCUUUCCAAUGCAUGUUUGCGUAAAUUUGCUUCCAUUUCCAUCCUUAACCUUAGAGAAGAAUCAUCCUUCUCCUUUUGCUCUGGUUUCAAGAAUUCAUCUUCACUCAUAUAUUUGACAAUUUGAGUACUCCCGAUCUGGUUUACAUCAUUUUUCUUAAUUGUGUCUUGCUGUUUUGGGUCAUCAAUUUCGACGGGCUUAUUACUUGCGAUAACAUCAAAUGGCUGAUCUUCUAAAGCAAUUCCACUCAAAUGACCGUCAACUUCAUUUUCCUUUGCAACUCCUCUUACUUCAUUUGUCUCAGUGAGGUCCUUAUUACCAGAUCUAAUUCUUCCAUUUUCUGUCAACUUGCUCAUUUCAGCAUCAAGUGGUGGUUUCCGGCUUGGCCAGUCCUCUUCAACAACAUUGUCAAUUUCAUUUUCAUAAUCUUCCUCCUUUGCUUGUUCAAUGUCAUCAUCCUGUUCUUCACUGGUUUGUUUGAGUUCAAUUCUAUUUUUGUUUGCAGUCCCAAGAUCCUUGGGUGGCAAGUUACUCUGACUUUCUUUCUGCCCAUUGUUUUUCUGAUCUCUUCUCUGGCUGCUUGUCCCUGGCUGUGUUUUUGGCACAAACCCUUUUGGUGUAGAGUCUUGAGUUCUAGGAGUUGGUGUUCUUCUUUGUCUUCUUCUAGAAAAAUCUACACAAUACAACAUUCAAGUAAAUAUUAAGAAAAUUAGAGAAAUAGCUCAAGUCCAAGACGUUCAAUGGAAACUUAAAAAUGAAAGCAACCAACCUGCACUUGCAGUGAUUCGAUGCGAAAUGUGAGCUACCCCAUAGUCCUUGCUCCAUAAAGAAGACUAUAACAAAUGCAUCAGAUAGGAUAAAAUAUAUCAACGCAGCAAGUCCACUAUAAUCCACAAUGUACACAAAAAGCUACCAGAAUUUGACAGAAAUAAUGAAACUGCUAUUGAUGUAGCAUUGAACAAAGUCUUAUAAGUAUUAACAGACAACUGGUUCUGCCUCAAAGGGCACACAACCAAAUAGAACGAACUGACCAGAAACAUAUGCCUACCAAGAAACAAUACAAAGACAAACCCUUUUAACAGUUUGUGAGACAGCUUAUAUGCAUACAAAAAAUGUUAAUGAAAAGUGGCCACUAAACUACGCCUAGAAAAGAGUAAGCUUUAGCUCAAGUGGUAAAGCCACCCCUCCGCAGGCCAUCUCCCACAGCUAGAAUGUCAUCACGAUCAGCGGCAAUGUACUCAGUUUGUGUUUGUGUGUGUGUGAAAGAGAGAAAGAGAGAGGAGGAAGGGGAAGGGGGAGGAGGCGAACACACUAGCCUUAAAGAGACAUCAAUCGGUUCUAAUUCCCAUCAAGACUGAUUAUAAAUUCAGAAAAAAAAAAGUGCAAUCCAAUCAAUAAUCACUACCUUAUACAAAAGGGUUCUACUGAAGAUAUCAUUUUGAGCCUCUGAUUGAUACAGGACAAGCUCUAUCUCUGCUUACGCAUAAAAGCAACGAGUAACCAAAUAUCAAGACAUGCACACACACAAGCACUUAUUAAAUGCUAAUAUGAACCCCUAGCAUCACUACCAUAGUUAACAGGGGAAAUUUGCUCACGAUAGUAGCAUUGUAAGAAAAUAAAACAGUGAGUGAGAAGCAAACUUUUACUUGGGAAGACAACAAGCUUGUGGUUCUAUGAGGCAGGAAUCCCAAAAAAGGCGUGAUCUUGAUGUGGGUUCUACCAUUAACCACUGCUCUACAACUCAAUGGUUUCUGCAGUGGCAAAGGGACCUCCAUUGGUGAUAUCUUCAAGAAUGUUUCAUGAGGGUCUGUCUUCUUUCUUUAACCUCGGAAUCGGUUAAAAACGUCCCCUUUUGAUUCUCUACUUGAUUGAAUUGAUAUGGAUAUUGAUAAUCCCUUCUGUACUUAAUCUCACUUUUUCUCUCUCUGUAUCUGUAGUAAUCAAUAAUAGUACAAGUAUGUGCUUACUAUUAUUAAACAAAUCGAAAAAAAAAUAUCUGCACUAAAAUCCAGAUGAGGUGCUCAGCCUGCUUUGGUAAUCAGCUUUUCUUACUAGUUAGUAUUAUUUCUUUCACGGAUAACAGAACGGGAGAGUCCAAAAAUUCUGAACCUUAGAAGCAAAAUGUUCCUUUUUUUUUCUUUUCUUUUCUGUCAUAAUCAAAUAUUUAACGAAAAAAAAAUGUAACGAAAUUGCGUGAAAUAAUCCUACGGCUGAGAAUGGUUAUCUACUGGAUUCAAGGGUGGUGAUUUUUGGGUUCCAUUACUAGUAAGUAUUACAUGCUCUUUUUUAUAUUUUUGGGUUUAAAUUUCUGGAGAUGGGAAGAUGUAGCUAGAAUGCGACAUUCCGGGGUGAUGCUGAUCCGGUUGGGGCAGGGCAAUCCAAUCAAAACUGGAAAUAAUAGGGUGGGGUCAAGUGACACUUGGAGAUAAAAAAGAGUUUGGUUUGUCUAAAGAAACGUACGAGGGUGGCUUUGAUUGAUUUAUUUAGUAUAAUGAUUCAAUGGUGAACUGAUAAGGCAUAUACUUUAAUUGAUCUUUGACUAGUUUGAUCUGGGAGAGGCAUAAUUGUUAAUCACUAAUUGAUCAUCUACUUUCCAAUAUUGCCAAACUGUCCCCAAGAAAUGACCCCCACCUAGAGGCACUGAUGAGAGCGAUGGCAAAGGAAAGGCAGGAGCAAAAGAGCACUCUUGAAACAUCCAGAGUCAGUGAAGAAGCUGUUCAGGUACAAGAUGAGGCUAGUUAGGGAGUGCUAGUUAGUGCUUAGUAGAGGCUCCCCUGUUCCCUCUUUCUAUGUCCCACAUCGUUUGUUGAGUGUGUACGUGAGUAGUACUUAAGUUCCAUGGGUGCAACCAAAAGUCAGCCUUUUGAUUGUAUCUUGUGGGGUUAAUUUAAGUGUCAUUGAUGAACUUCUUGUCAAAAAAAAAGGUACAAGAUGAGGCAAAAAUUAAUCCGAAGAUAGCUAUCUAUGAGGAUAAGGAUACCAAGCGGCGGGGAAGGGGCAUGGGGGCAAAGAAUCACAUGGGACAAGUUAAGACAGCUUGGGCUAUGAGCGACAGAGGCACAAGCAUACCAAUACUGGAUUUAGCUGAAACAAUAAGAUUAGUUUUGAUCAAGGCUAGAGAAAAGCAUUGGACAGAAUUUAAAGUCCAUAUCCCUCAGAAAGCAGCUUUUAUCCUCGUUGAUGUCCAAGAAAACCAAAGACAAUCUAUUGGCAAAUCUGAUGGAUGAUAUCAACAAUCUUAACUCUUUGUUUCAAAAAUGCUCAUUCUGUUUAGAUGUAGCAAAUGAUAAUAUAUGUAAAUCUGUUAGUACUUAUGUAGUAGGCAUUUGCGGUAAUGAGGAAUGGAACAAUCCUCAAGAUAUCUAACACUUUUAUAUAACCUGUUUGAGUCAUUGCUCUACAAGUGUAAAAUUUUUGGAUUUAUGAAUACAAUUCCUAUCGUUUCAAGGAAAAAAAAAAAGUGCCACUACUGAGUGUGUGGUUUAUGAAUUUGAUUUUGAUGUCAUUAGGUAUACAUCUUUGAAUUCCAUGCUAUUAAAGCAAUUUAUUCAUUUCUUCAUCACUAGUAAGAAAUCCCUUGAAAGAGAAAAACAUUAUUGAGUAUUAACCUCCGAGAAUUAACCUUGUCCACGAUCUAUAUCUAUUUGUGACGAUUGAGUACAUAAACUUCUAGGUUUUACCCAAUUUCGUUCUUGACCGAUAUUGAGCUCACUCUUAACCUAAAGAUGAAUGAUGUGUUGAAUGUGCGAGACUAUAAUGCAAAGUAGGUUCUUUCUUCUAGAACUGAAAUUUAUGGACAUAAAAUUGUGUAUUUGACAUACCACUUGGGUCAAAGUGACAUACAAAAGAAAUUUAGAAAAAAAAAUGCCAUGCAAGGGAUGCAAAUACCCAAAAUUUCAAUAGUUUAAGAGUGCAAAAGUUGUGUUAAAACUCUGAGUACGACUCUUUUUUGAUUAAACAAAAAAUUCAUUCCAUGAGAUGUGCAUUAAUAGCAGAAAGUACAUUAAACAUAUUAUAGAUACAACUACUCUGAAUAAUCACUGGACUUAACAGAUCUUAAAAAUAAUAAAAAUUACACUGUAAAGCUGCAACAAAUUAUGAGCAGCUCUAAGUACAAUUCUGAAUUAUGAGCAAAGAGGGUACAAAUUUCUUUGAAAUGUAUUAUCGUUUGUAAAGCUAAAGAUUGCUUUUUUAUUUCUUCUCUUCUUUAGAUAGUAAAAGAAGUGCAUAAGAUGAAACAAAAAUGAAAAAGUAAAAAAAAUAUGAUAGAUUAAGUCAUGGGGAUUGGGGAAACAUAAAAAAGCCCCUUAAAUCAUCCAUAAGAAAUGAAAUACAAAAUUAGGACAGAAGUCAAUAGAUCAAAAGGAACCAUCACUAUUUUCUCCUUUCUUAGCCAAAAUGUCCACAUACUAGUUAGGUUUUCCAAGAUUGUGCUUCAAACAAGCAUGUUCAAAUGUAAUUUAACAGCUCAUCGCAUACGUGAAAAAGUUCAUGAAAGGUCAUUAAAAUCUAAAUUUGACUGUAAACAUUUACUUCUUCUGAUGAUAUAACAUGCCUUGUCCAAAAUGCUGAAAUGUCACUAAUGAACAACUCAGGUGGUGUUUGGUAAGAGAGUUUCGAAAUGAAAAAUUGGAAUAAACUCCAUAAUUGUUGUUUGGAUUACUAUUAUCAAAAUUGAAAUUUUGGAAUCAUAUCUGAAAAUUUGGAAUUCCCUAAUUCUCUAAUAACCUGAAGGGUUUUGAACAAAACCUAAGUCUGAUUUUUAUUUAAUUUAUCAAAAACUAGGGAUAGCAAUUAAGGUGAAUGGGGCCGAGGGAGGGGGAAUUUUUUUUGCCCCAUUUAGAAUGGGACCCAUCCCGUCACCGGUUAAAAAAAUUAAUAUAUAAUUAUAUUUAUAUAAAAUUAUAAUAAUACAUAUAUUAUAUUUAUAAUAUAUUAUUAUGUACACGUAUAUAAUAUAUUAUAUAAAUAUAUAUUAUAAUUAUUUAAUUAAAUAUAAUUAUAAUAUAUAAUUAUAAUAUAUAAUAUAUAAUUAUAAUUAUAAUAUAUAAUUAUAAUUAAUUAUAAUUAUAAUUAUUUAAUUAAAUAUAAUUAUAAUAUAUAUUAUAUUAUAUAAUAAUAUAUUUAUAUUAUUUAUAAAUACAUAUUUUAUUUGCAUAUAUAUAAUAUUUAUAUGUAUAUAACAAUAUAUUAUAAUUAUAAUUAUAUAUAUUUAUAUUAUAAUAUUAGUAUACUUAUAUUUAAUUAUAUACAUAAUAUUUAAUUUAAUUAGUUAUAAACUUAUAAUAAUGAUAUUAUUAGUUAUAUGUAUUAUAUAAUGUAUAUUAGUAUAUGUAAUAUAAUUGAUAUUAUCAAUCAUACUAAUAAUUAUACAUGUUUACUAAUAAAAAUAAUUAAUUAGUUAUACUAAAUUUACUAAUACAUUUAAUUAAUAAAAAUUUCUUAUAUCCCAGUUCGAAAGAGUCUAUUCUAAACCCAGGAUGAAGGAUCCCAAAUCCGAAUCCGAUUUCAAUAUGCGAACAAAAUGCCACCUCAAUUUGCCCCACCUAUCUUAAAGUUUUCUAGUUGGAUUACAGGCUUAAAAAUUCAUAACAAUGAGUGAUUAGCUACCUUUCUUUUUUCCUUUUUUCCUUUAGCAUGCAUUGAAAAGAGAAAAGUGCCCAUUUGGAUUAUUGUUAUUUUCUGAUGUUUUUUUAUAGAAAAAUGUAUUAUAGCAAUUUGAUGUUUGUGAGAUAAAAAAAUGGUUAAAAAAUAGGGCAAAAAAUCGCGGUGGUCCUCUAACUUUCAACUUUGCGCACUUUUAGUCCUCUAACUAAUAAUUGCGCAAACGUAGUCCUCAAAUUUAAAAAAGUGUAUAUUUCUAGUCCAUCCGUCCAAUUUCGUUGUUAAGAUGGACAGAAGAGACAUCACGGACUACUCUCAUAACAUUUGUUGGGGGCACUAUGGUACAAAAAAUAACAAAGUCCCUCGAAAACAACAAAGUCCCUCGAAAGCUUCAAAGUUCGGACUAUUAGUGGAACUCCAUUUUCCAGAGAAACCUAAAUUACUCCUUGCAGUAACGAGAUUUGCAACAGAGAAAAAGACAAUCGGGUUUGAAGUCUGCCCAAAGGAAUGGUGGAAUGGAAAAUCAGGAGAAGGGGCGUCUACUUCAACCCCUAGUUAGUAUACGGUAAGUGCACUUAAACUGUACAAAGUUCUACAAAAAUGGUACAACAAUUGAUGGUUAUUUGUGUUACAGUGAUGGGUAAGUGAAUAGGAAAUUUUAUUUUGGUUGUGGGGUUGAAUGUGAGGGUGUUUUGUCUCAAAUAUGGGAGGAAAGUGGUCUCAUAUUUGGGUUCACUGUCUCUGUCUAUAAAUAAGCACUAGUGGUCCUGAAGCAUAUUUUUUUAAACUACUUUGUCUUGUUGAGUUAGCCUAAUUAUUUAAUUUCUAUUGUUAAUUAGUUUAGUAUAUAUUAUUUUAAUUGUGCCUAUUGACCUAGGUUUGGGAUUAUGGUCUUUUAUACACAAAAUUAAUGAGUUAAUUAACUAGUUACCAAAUUAAUGAUUACUCGUAAUUGUUAAUAUACAUGCAGGAUCUGAAUGAUUUACUAUAAGAAUGCAUCACAGGGGAAAUAUUCGUUGGGAAAGUUACAUAAGUUAUGUUGGUGGUGAUGUGGACGAUGUAGACUUAUGUGAUUGUGAACGGAUGUCAAUUCAUGAACUGAAUCAAAUGGUAGAAGAGUUAGGUCAUAUUCAGGAAACCAUAAUGUAUUACUAUUUUGAACCAACUAAAGAUCUUAAUAGUAGGUUAAGGGAAUUGUGUACAGAUGCUGAUGUAAACAAAUUUUGCAACUUGGCUUAUGAACAUAAAGUGAUGGAGGUUUACUGUAACCACUUAACAAUUGAAGAAAUUGAUCAAGUUUUGAUGGAGGCUGCUGGUAGGGGUAAUUCAGUAGAGCGGAAAAAAUAUGGUGUGGUAAUCGAAGAACUAGAUAAUGAAGGUAAGGUGGUUACGGAACCAUGUUUACAAAUGGUACGUAGUGGAGUAGGGACAUCACAGUCAACUUGACAAACUGUUGACAAUAACACUGGGCAGACUUCAGCACAACCAUUAAGGGACAAUGGAGGUCAUGUUGAAAAUCCAAGGAAUGAACAGAGCACUACACAUGAGGGGUCUGGAACUACACAUGAGGGCACUAUACAUGAUGGUGAAGUUGCAUCUGAAUCAGAUGCUGAAGUAGAGAGGUUUCCUUGGGAUAAUGAUUAUUGUGGAGAUGAACAGCUUCUUUAUAACCUCAUUAGAGAAGGAGACCAGCAGCAAUUGGAUACAAGAGGUGAACAACAGCAUGAUACAUCUGAGAGGUCUUCGCAGGCUAGAAACAAGCAUCAGCAGUCUAAAAACCAAGUAGGAGCUGAGCAACAACCCCAACAGCCCUCUAUUCAGCAGAUAACCAACAAUCAGCAACCACAGCAGCCAAAAAAGGGGAAGAAACAAGUGAGGAGAAGAAGAGAGAAACCUGUAGAUGAAGGUCCUGAGAGGCAGACAAAUGCAUUGGAUGAAGAUUAUGUACCAGAUCACUUAAGCAGUGAUUAUAAUUCAUCAGACGAAGAUGAGAACCAGUUUGAAGGCAGAUACAAGAGAUUUGUAUGGGAUAAAUCCAUGAUAGACCCCAAGUUUGAAUUGGAGAUGAAAUUUGAGUCAAGGCCACAAUUCAAGGCAGUAGUGACCGACUAUGGUAUCAAGACAGGUAAACCAGUCUGGACAUGUAAAAAUGAUACCAAAAGGGUGAGAACUGUUUGUAGAGACUCGUGUCCUUGGUUUGUUUUUGCAUCAAUUGAGAGGGCCCUUGGUACAUCAGAUUUGGUGGUAAAGACAAUGCAUGAUGUGCAUGAGAAUUGCAAUCACACUUGGAAGAAUAAAAACAUGACUUCUACGUGUGUGACAACUCGUAAAAUUUCUUAUAUUUUUCUUAAAAAUUUUCUUUUAUUUGGAAAUUAUUACUUUAUAAUGGCCCUACUACCCAAUCACCCCACAAUAAGUGUAAAUGAACAUAGAAUUAAGGAUUUUUCCUUUCGUUUUCAAGUUAUCGAAAAUUAGUGUUUUUACGCCUAUCCGUAGUGUGACUAUCCGGUACAGAGGGUGGAUCAAAUUUGGUGAUUAAGAGUGAGUUUUAGUGAUAUUAAAUGUGUGAUUAGAAGUGAUAAUAAUAAGUUAGUGAAUUAUAAGUUAAAAUCCUAGUAUACGCGAUUUAAGAAAAAUCGGCUCGAACCGACGGGUAUCGUUUGCUACCGAUUGAACCCACCAUUUGACCACCAUUUUUAUCAAGUUAAUCUCAUUGUUAUUGGAGCUUAAAUAUCAGCUCUAAAGCUGAUCAAAGUGGCCGAAAAUUUUGACCAAGGAAAAUAAAAAAAAUUGAGAUGGAAAUUGGUAGUGAUAAGUAGCACUAAUCCAAGAACCUUUGACCCAAACUAUGACUAAACCUUAAAACCAUCUUGGAGCUUCAUUCUUCUUUAUUUUUUUCAGCUUGUGGCCGAACCUAGGAGAGAAAAAAAGAAGAGAAAGAACUUCAAUUUCAUCUUGGGUUUUGCUUGAUUGAGUGAGAAAAACAAAAUUCUAAACCGAUUAAAUCUUUCUUUGAGCACUUGGAAAGUUUGGUGUGUAAAAGGUUACAAGGAGAGGUGGUGGAUAACUCUUCCAAGCAUCUUUGAGAGGUAUAUUGGCUGCCACAUUUAUUUCCCUUAAUCUUGUUUAAGUUGAGUAGUAACUUGUAAUCUUGCUUGUGAUGCCUAAGUCAAGUGAUUUUGAUGAUUGAGGUGAUGAAUUUUGAGUUAGGGUUUUGAAUAAUUCACUUAUAAUUCUUUCGUUUGGAUGGUAUAUGGUAUAUAUAAUCUUGUAUAGGAGGUUGUAGUAGUGAUUUAAGCUAGAAAGGUGAAAUUAUACUUUGAACUCCUUAAAUUCCAGAAAUGAAACUCUUCACUGCCCUGUUCUGUUCGGUAAGGUUUGACCAUGAGAGAGGCUGAAUUAGCCUUAGCACAAAACAUGAAAGUUGUAGAUAAUGAUAUUUUAUAGCUGUCUGUAAAAUUUCAACUCAAUCCGAGCACUAUAACACAUGAAAAGAUAAAAAUACCCCUGACUACCAUAGGUAGAGUUUUGUGACAGUUUUGACAUUUCACCAAUCUGACCGCGUCUGUUCACCCUGAUCCAUACUGAAUUAGUAUUUGGCCAAAACGCAGAAGUUGUAGUACUAUGUCUUAGCUUUCUAACAGUCCUGAAAACGCCUUAAUCAGACUUCGAUAACUUGAGUUAUUGUCGUUUACGCAUAGUGCGGUUAACUAGCCCGAAUAUGAGAUUCUGGUUCUGUAAUUUGAAUUUUUGACCUGGAUACACUACGAACUGGACUGAGUGGUCUUCAUCAAAGUUGUAGGCCUUUAUUUUAGCUUCAAAACGAUAUAAAUUGUACCCUAAUUCGAUAAGCGUAGCUUCGAUUGUGCCCGUUACGCUAAGCGACGGCAAAUCUGUCUUUUGUUUUCUGACUUAAAUUUCAUUUUCGGACAUUUUCCUACCUUGAAUUUGUGCUUGUACGACUUUGAUCCUAUUGAACGGCUAUGGAAAUGAGAUUAUUUUGUGUGUGAUUUUGGGACUGAUUGAGAAAAAGAGUGAAGCCAUAAAUUGAUGUAAAAUAGGUAAAUAUAAAGGGCGUGCCGCCCAAAUUUACGCUCGAGAGUUAGGUAGAUAUACUUGCGACUCAAGUAAAGCUUGAGAGCGAAUACCACGUGAACCAUCUAGGCUAUUGCGUUUUCUUUUAUCGAGGUAUAUAAAUUAGAAUUUGGCCGAACUUGUACCCUUCAAAAAUGAAAGUAAUUAUCGAUAGAAAUACGUUUUCCUCGUUCUUUCGACUCCAAUAGGAGUUCUAAAGUUUUAACCGCUUCUUUAUCGAAACUAAACGAGCGAGCAUAAAUUUUUCAGAAUUUGAUAAGUAUCUUGAAUACUACUUAAACGAGUUGCAUUUACUUAAUUUUUUUGAAACGAAACUCCUAUGUUUCGAAUUCUAGAGAGUUUUACAUUCGUAAAUGAUAUUUUAUCGCAGAUUUGGACUCCAACCAAAGAGUUGGACUUGAACGUGACUUUUGAGAGGCACUAGACCUUUAGUGAGUGCUUCCAAAUACCUGAUUGAACAGGACACUUGUUGUCAAUACUUGAUCAAUGUAAAUACAUGAUAUGUGAUUUGUUUGAUCGGCCAAGAGUGUACUUUAUCACACUUGUCCUAAUAUGGUAUAUACUUAUUUAUUAUUGCAAUUAACGUGAUAUACUUGUACUUGAGUUGUAAGUGUGGAGCGGCAGUAUGUACUACACUCAAUCCGAGUAGGAGGUGCCUCUCAUUCCCGUCUCCGUACUUUUAUUUUGAUUCAGUCGAUUGGAGAUGUUAUCUCAUCGAAUUCUUGGAAACCUAAACCCCAUUGACUAAUUAAUCGAGUCGAGCCGGCAAGGGUUUGGUCAAUUAGAUAACGAACCAUGGGUAGUUAGUGAUGUCCAGUGGAGUGUUAUCUUUUCGACUAAUCGGUAUACUCGAGUAUUAUCACCAGUGUUUAUCGUAGAGUUCGGGCCCGAUAAUGGAUUUGGUUGGUGGACGGAGAUUGGAGUUAAGUGGUGUACUACUGGACUAGUUACUUUACUUGAAAGUUGACGGAGUGUCAACUAAUACUUGAUCAAGUUCUGGUGAAGAAAUGGGAAUUCGGCUCCUGAGAGCCAUCUGUAUCCUUAUACAUUGAUUGUUAUUCAAAGUGUUAUUGUUGUUUUGGAAAACUAGGGAUGUACGCGAGUCGAGCUACUCGCGAGUAGCUUGGUCAACGGCUUGGCUCGAACUCGGGUUGACCGAGUUCCAGCCGAGUUUCGAGUAGCUCGAUUGGCGUUCGAGUCUCAAAUUUUUGGCUCAAGACUUGUCGAGUAGAUUGUCGAGCCGGGCUAUUUAUAUAAUAUAUUUAUAAUUUAAAUAAUAUAUAUGUAUUAUAAUUAUAAAAUGACUAUUAUGGAUAUAGGUUAUAUGAAAUUUACAAUAUACUCUUCUUUAUAAUAAAAUUUUAUAAGGGUAAAAAAAUAAUAACAUAAUUAUAAAAAUACCUAAAAAGAAAAAAUGUCUAAAAAAUGCCUCAAUUUUUUGGUCGAGUCGAGUCAAAAAACUUGAUUAGACUCGGUUUGAUAAGACUUGACUAAGGGUCGAGCCUUAUCGAGUCGAGUUUCGAGCUUAGAGCGAGUACAUCGAGUCAAAUUUCGAGUAUCAAUUUUUUUGACUCGAUCGAGAUCGAGUUGAGCUCGAGCCUAGGGAUAUAUGAGUCGAGUCGAGCUUGAGUAUAGCAUUACUCGAGUUUGACUCGGCUCGAUUACAUCCCUAUGGAAAACAAAAAGAGUUUUCACUCGCUCAUUUUGACAUUUGCUAUUUGAAGUGUUAUUGCUCACUUUCAUGAACUUGUUAUACUCACUAUUUUGCUACGUGAUAUUUGUACUUUUCAAUAAUGGUCAACUUGCUAUUUGGAACCUCACUGGGCUUUUAGCUCAUUUCACGCCAUUUAUUUUCCUUACAUGGGGUACGAGCGAGACGUGAGACUUGUACAGACUAGCGUAGUCUAGUUUUUUUUUUAUUUUGAUAUUGUACUCACGCCAACACCCGUCUAGGGUUGAUUUUAGUUUGGUUAUAAAUAAUUUAACGUUUUGGGCAUAUAUAAAUUUGUAGCUGGAUUUGAACAUCAAUGUAUAUGUAAAGUUUGAGAUUGUUGUUUCAUUUCUUCUCUAUGGACGCGGUAUCUUUCUCGAGUUACGCGUGAGUGAGUCCUGACGAGAGUUGGGCAGGCGGUCCGCUAAACCCUGGGGUACGCCUUAGGGGGAGGUGGAGUCGUCACAACGUGGCUAUCCAAUAGGUAUAUGGAGAUAAUCAAGUCUAACACAAAAAUGCCCGUUAGGGAGUUUAGGCAAACUGUUUAUGAGGAUUAUGAGGUUGAGAUUUCUAAAUGGGUGGCUAGAAAAACAAGAGCCAAGACUAUACAGCUUAUUAAGGGGUCUGCAGAGGUACAAUACAAGAAAAUUUGGGAAUAUUGCAAUGAGAUAAAGAAGACACGUGACGGAAGUAUUAUGGAGGUCAUGUUUACCCCAUUCAGACUGCCUACAAGUAAUCCAAGAUUCAUGCGACUAUACUGCUGCCUUAGGCCACUUAAGCAAGGCUUUAAGGAUGGUUGUAGGCCUAUUAUAGGCUUAGAUGGAUGCCAUCUAAAAGGCACUUAUCCAGGACAAUUACUUACUGCUCUUGGAGUGGACCCUAACAAUGGUUAUUGGCCAAUUGCAUGGGCAGUUGUGGAGAAAGAAGCCACAGAACAAUGGAAAUGGUUUCUGAAGUUGUUGAGUGAGGAUUUGGAAAUAGAAAACCAAUACCACUACACUUUUAUCUCUGACCAACAAAAGGUUAUGCACUAUAUCAUUGUAAUCUGGUUUCUAUCGUCAAGUUAGGUGUUUACUUUUCUAUUUAUAUUGUAAGGACUGGACAGAACAUUAGUUUAGGUGCUUCCAAAACUGUGAGCACCGAUAUUGUGUGCAGCAUUUAUAUAAAAAUUUUAAGAAAAAACAUUCAGGAGACGCGUCGAAAGAGAGAUUUUGGAAUAUUGCAUAUUGUACUACAUCUAAGCACUUCAAUGAGGCAAUGUCAAACCUUGAGAUGUAUGACAAGGAAGCACAUAGCUGGGUGAAAAAGGCACCUCAUCCUCGGCAUUGGUGCAAGACAUUUUUUCCAAUUCAUACCAAAUGUGAUAUACUAGUAUAUCUUUCAAUGAUAUACUAGUCACUAUAUCAUUGUAAUCUGGUUUCUAUCAUCAAGUUAGGUGUUUACUUUUUUAUUUAUAUUGCAGGGACUGGACAGAACAUUAGCUUAGGUGCUUCCAAAACUGUAAGCACCGAUAUUGUGUGCAGCAUUUAUAUAAAAAUUUUAAGAAAAAACAUUCAGGAGACGCGUCGAAAGAGGGAUUUUGGAAUAUUGCAUAUUGUACUACAUCUGAGCACUUCAAUGAGGCAAUGUCAAACCUGGAGACGUAUGACAAGGAAGCACAUAGUUGGGUGAAAAAGGCACCUCAUCCUCGGCAUUGGUGCAAGACAUUUUUUCCAACUCAUACCAAAUGUGAUAUACUAGUCAAUAACCUUUGUGAAUCUUUCAAUGCUCAUAUCCUUGAAUUCAGAGAUCAUCCUAUAAUUUCACUACUGGAGACUAUCAGAGAAUAUAUUAUGGAUAGGAUUCAACAAAGAAAGGCAGCCAUGGAGAAAUGUAAAGGUCCUAUUGGACCAUUGCCCACCAAAAUUGUUGAUGAGAGGGUGAAGCAUUCAACUCACUGGAAUCCUAUUUGGAAUGCUGCUGUUGGUUAUCAAGUGAAGAGCCCUAAAUGAAACCAAUAUGAUGUAGACCUAAAAAAAAGGCAUUGCACGUGCAAAUUGUGGGCCGUAAGUGAAAUUUCUUGCUGUCAUGCAAUAGCAGCAAUUCAUAGGAAUAAUGGAAAUUCUUAUAACGAAGUUGAAGGUUGCUACAAUGCAGAUCUAUUUUUGAAGAUAUAUUGUAAUAUCUUCGAACCAAUUAGUGGUGAAAUUUUAUGGCCCCCAUCCAUCAUGUCUAUAUUGGACCCACCACUCACUGUUGCUCAACCUGAGAGGCCAAGAAAGGCUCGAAAGAGAGACAUCACAAAAGGAAAAAAUCAUGGUAGAAAACUGAGAAGGAGAAUUGUUAUACAUUGUAGAAAGUGUGGAAAGGUAGGUCACAAUACAGCUACAUGCUGCAAAGAAGGGUCUACUCAAUCUAAUCAAGUAGAAGAGGAUACUGAUAUUGGUGUACAUACUCCACAGGGUGCAGAAAAUUCUAAAAGUCCAAAGUCUUCUACGAGGCCAUCUAAAAGGCAGACUGUAAGUGUAUAGAAAUUGUGGUAUAUAUGAAAUGGUAGAUUAAAAUCUUACUUUUUGCUAUUUGCUGCCAUUGACAGGUUAGAAAGGACCAGUAAAAGAAGAAAAAAAGAAAUGUGCAGCGAUGAUCUCCUCAAGUUGACGAGGCAUAUGAGCAUCAACGUUCGGGAUUUGAAUUUGAACACCAACAUGAGCAUCAGAAGAGACACAUCAACAACAAGUGGAUCAGCAAGACCACCAAUCAUCAUUCCAGCAUGGCGCUAAUCUUCAAGAACAGCAGGCCUCUUGUAGCAUUCCUUUAACACAGAAACUACCUCAUAAGAGGCAGAAGCAGAAAAAUUCAACAAACCAGCCUUUAACAGAUAUUGAUAAAGGAUUUAUCAAUCUAAACUACACAUAUUUUGGCAGGCAACCUCCCUACCUCCCUUCACUAUUGGGAAUUGGAAGGGAAAAUGGAGUGGCAGGGGCAGAGGAAGAGCUGGUAGAUGAAGGGGAACUGGAGGUACAAAAGGAUAGACAGCAGCUUAAUACAACAACACCCACUGUUUUGCAAACCUAGCAGUACUUUAUUAUUGGAUCUUUUUUGACUGGGAAACGUCUUUUGUCUUUUGUAAUAGACAGCUUUUAACCAAGUAAUGGUUUUGUCCAACUGCUUAGCUUUUUCUGUAUAAGUGGAUUAGUUUUUUGUCUACUAAUUGUUAAAUGGUCAAGCUUGACUAUUGUUUUGACUGCUAUGUUGGAUGGUAUCCACUUGUAAAUGCAUAUAACAGGGCAUUUUGUUUUGUUUUGUUUUAUUCUGGUUUCUACUAUUAUUUUUAGCACUCAUUCAAUGUCAAUUGGAUGGUACAAUUUUUGUUGGAUGGUACCCACUAUUUUCUCUUGUAAAGCUAUGUUGGAUGGUACCCAUUGUUUUAUUCUGUUUUGUCUACUAAUUGUUAAAUGAAUGUCGUCUUCAUGUGUGGCUGCCAACCUGCCAUUACAAUUUCACAGCUACACCAGUUUAGAUCAAACUUCAUUCUAUUACUUCCAUUCUUCCAAAAGCAUAGAGUACAAUUCAACUGCAUAUUCGUUAGCCUAGCUAACACUACAAAAGGCCAAUACAGUGUGGCAAGAUUACAACACAAUUUUUACAUUAUCUUAAAAUCAGAUUACUCCAUCAGCAACUUGAUAGAUACAAUUUUCACAUGAACACAAUUUUCGUAGAGCUUCUUCAAUUUGCAGCAUUCCAGAAGUCCAUCUUUCAUCUCGAGGCCAAACCACCAUUAAUAAGAUUAAAACCCAAGAGAGUACCAGUAGUCUUACAAGCCACUUCCUAAUAUGCUUUUGUCUCGCCAAGUCGUGCUCCAUGUCCUUCACUUUCACCUUCAACUUUGCAGCUUUUGACUCCAAUUUGGUUAGUACAAUUUGCAAUUCAUCCUUUGGUUGCUCAGUUGCAUUCACCUUUCUUAGAAGAUCGGGUAUCACCUCAAUUGAGUGACGACACAUUUUCCCAUCGAUCCAAUCCCAACACUCGCAACCCCCAUCUGCUUAUACUGCAUACCUCCUGCCAGGAUUUCGAGAUGUCCACGAAGUCACCAUCUUUAUCGAUUUACCGUAGGGGCACAUAGGGAGAGUUGGAGUGUUCAAUCUCCUGAUUUUCGGCUCAAUUGAGACCAAAAAUCUACUAGUACCACUCCUACAAGUUUCAGAUGGAGUGAAAAUGGAGAAGAAGGAGAUUUUUAAGGCAAGUCCCUCUGCUGUGUUGACAAGAUUGCCCCUAACAAAUAUUAUGAGAGUAGUUCGUGAUGUCUCUCCCGUCCAUCUUAACAGCAAAAUUGGACGGAUGGACUAGAAAUAUACACUUUUUUUAAUUCGAGAAUUACAUUCGCGUAAUUAUUAGUUGGAGGAUUAAAAGUGUGUAAAAUUUAAAGUUGGAGAACCACCGCAAUUUUUUGCCCUAAAAAAUAUAUUCACAGAAAAAGCGAGAUUAGAUCUAGAAGUUGCAUAUGCAAGGUACUAGUAUAACUUACUCAAAAGUCUCUUUAAACUUUACAUAGUUUGUAGAGUGACACUUUUAAUUGUAUACUUUUGGCACUUUUAAUCAUAUAAUUUAAAUUAUAACUAAUUAUUAUACAUCUAACCCCACUUUUGUAAUCAAAUUAGGUGGUGAACUUUUCAAGAAUUUAGUGUUACCUUGCCCCCCAAAAAAAAAUAGAAUUUAAAGGAAAAGCAUAGUGCCUUUGAAGCCAAAAGGCAAGCAUGGUGCCUUUGAAGCCAAAAGCCCAUUUACAUGACUUCAUAAGGAGGGAGGAAGCAGAGUCGCCAACAAAAUCUCAUCAUCCCAUUUUUCCCGCCUAUCCGCCCUUUGUAUUUAAAAAACCCUUCUUCCCCGCCUCCUCCUUCUUAUGCUUCAUUCUAGGGUUUCUCGAUUCCUCUCUCUCUCUCUCUCUCUCUCAUAACCUGUAAGCUACUCAUCUGUUUGCUGAAAAAUGAAAUCCAGAAUCCGAAUCUGCAGCAGCAUCAGAUCACCGCCAUCCACAUUCUGCAGAUACUACUUGAAGCCCGGAGCAUUAGCCCAAUUCAGGAAUUCCAAAAUCACCGCCAAAUUCAAAGCAAAAGAAAAUUUGAAUUUUACCCAGAUUUCACUCUACAAACUCAAACCCACCUCUGAAUUGACCUUGCGGCCAUCUAUUUCCGACAUGGAGGCGAUUCCUUGUUUCACUUUUAGCUUCAAGAAUAACCGCAGUGCUCCUCGCUGCCUUCUCCGGAAGAAACUCAUCGCUGUCACCCCGAUAUUUUCCGAGUUGUAGUCGGAAACUUGAGUUGGGAUCUCUAAUUUCUUUUGUUCAUUUUUUUAUCCAUUAUCGGUUGUGAUUGUAGUAGCAAAGCUGAAAUUACAGUAAUCAUUAUACUAAAAAAAAUACCAUAUGUAUGAUGUAGAAACUCAAAAAUUAAUAAAAAAAAGUACUGUCUUUCUUCUUUCUUUUUUGAAUAUGGGUUGUUCAUUGGCAGUUAUCACCUAUGUUUAUAGUGGAUUGAUUAUAGAAGUAAUUCGUGCGGAACUCAGUUUUGUUUAAAUUUUUUUUCUCUUGUGGGUGACGGGUUUUAAAUCAAAUGAAGAACGAUGUCUAUGUUGGAGAGGUUUGAUAUUUUGCUUGUUUUAUUUUUACUAGUGCAAUGUGGAAAUGCCUAAGGUGUGUAAGUGUCCUACUUAGGGUAAUUUAAAUGGAUCAUCAAAUAGCAAUUUCUUCUCGUUCUGAUUUUCCCAGGCCUGGCAAGCAUCGAAUCACUAAUAGGACAAUGGAGCAAAGUAGAGGGUUUAAUUGACUUUGAGUUUCCUUAAUACAGGACUCUCAGCUCUCAAACACUCCAGUUAUGUUUGUACAGGAUAAGCUCAUUAAUAUAAAAGAAGACCAGUAUCAGUUUUUUUUUUUUUUUUUUGUCAAAAUGUCGCUUACUUUUCUAUUAAUAGUUAAUGCCUUUACAACAGUAUACAAAAGGGUGCAACUGCUCCAUCAGAACUGUGAUGCUCCUUUGAGCCACAGGGGGAAGGUUCUUUCCCACUUAACAUCAUGUAUCAGUUUGGUUGCAAAUUUUGCAAGCUUAAAACUAACUCUAUCUUCCUGCUGACUAACUAAUGAGAAUUUACACUUCCAAAAGGAUGCUUGAAGUUGCUUUAUAUCUCUGAUGAUUACUGCUAGCUGGGAUUCAUCUUCAGCAUCUUCAUUCAGUCUAUCUAUCAAGGCUUUACACUCAGAUUGGAUCUCUAAAGAAGCCCACUGUUUCUCCAUUGCAUAUAGCAGUCCUGCACGAAUUGCUAAAGCUUCAGUUAAGAUCCUAUCUCCACUGAAAGUCAAAGGAAUCGCCCUUGUCGCUGUUGGCUUCCUACUGUUAUCUCUGACUACUAUGCCUAAUCCUGCCUUUUUCCUCACUCUAUCAACAGCUCCACAGGUGGACAUUUUCAUAGCUCCUGGAAGCCCAGUAUCAGUGGCUGGAUAAUCUUUUAAAGGAUUUGAUUUGUUUCUUGGACAAAACUGCUAUAGACCUAAAGCUUUUCUGGCUCUUUCAUCUCCAGACUACAAAAUUAUCUUAGUCUGCUAAAGUCUGAACUAGAAGUUGAGGAGAAAUAUCUUGCUGUCUGUCCCAGAUAUUUCCUCCUUUGUGUCCUUUUUUCAGCUACAAGCCGAUGUUUCGUUUACAACUUGUAUUGUGGAUAUUCAUUAGUUUGUUGCCCAUGGUAUUUGCAUUUGAAGCUAGUUUGAGAUGUCUUAAUGAGCUCCAUGUCACCAUCAACAGCUCAUUAAAAGCUAAUUAUGCAAGCGGCACAAUGCGACUAGUCAUGAAAAGUUCAUUCGUUUAGCAUAUUUGCUAUUUAACUCUGUAGCUACUGGGAUCUCUAAUAAUAAUGUCUAUAGUUUGGUUUGAUGCUAAUGAAACCAAAGUAAGAAGAAGGCUCAUAUGUCCUCGAGAAAUUGGCAGAGCAAAUCAAUUGAUAGUAGCAGUAUCGAGAUGUUGCUGCAAGUUAUUUCAGCCAGCAGCCUGGGAGGUAACAUACAUAAAGGCUACACCCCAAAAAUGGUCCAGUCUCAUGGUGGCAUGGGAGCUUCCAGAAGGAAUGGCAGAAAUUGAAGAUACUUGAUUUUCUUCACAUACUAGGAAAAGAGCCAUUUUUCCAACAGUUGUACUCUGCAUUUUUCAAAGUUAAGCUAGGAAGAAGUAAAGUACAGAGCAAAUUAUCUAAGACUACCUCAUAGCAGCCAAGAGCAUAUGAGUUUAGAUUAUCUGAAUAAUUAGCUUUCAAGCUGACUUGAGAUGAACUAUUGUGUAAUCAUAAUGACAUCUUUUGUAGAUAUAGGUCCCAGAAAAAUGAUCAAGCUACUGGACAUAAAAAUGAAUUUCAUAUGGUGAAUGUUUUACAUAUAAACUGAGAUCUCAUGCCACGAAGUAAACUAACCAUCAGAUGAAGAAAAAAAAAUGCCCGGUGCAGUGUCAAGUAAUUCUGCUGUUUCUGUAGCAGUAGAUUUAUGAAAACAAUUUAAAAUGUCCUAGCGAUCAAGAAAAUAUGUUGAGCUAAAACUUUCUGAAUUAAUAUAAGAGGUAUUACACAAGAUGACUCAAAAAUAAAAGUUUCAAAGAUGCAGAAACACUCUCAUGUCUCCAAAAUACAUUGUGGUUCUCAUAUUGCAUGAAGUUUGUAUGUGGUUGGAAGUUACAACACGAAACUGUCUACUCUACUUUACAGUUCUUAAAUAAGCAUAGUUUGAUGAAAAUGGAAUUUUCAACAAAAAUACCUAUAGUGAAGCACAAUCAUGGGAGACAAUUAGAAUGCUCAAGUCAAAGCUUUGGCUCCAGCAACAAUUUCCAAUAUCUCUCCUGUAAUCUUGGCCUGACGCUCUCUGUUGUAGGCUAUAGACAGGGAUUUCUUCAAUUCACUAGCAUUGUCAGUCGCAUUGCUCAUUGCAGUCAUCCUAGCAGCAAGCUCACUAGCCAGUGACUCCUGCAAUGACCUCAAAAUUUGACUAUUUAAGUAAAGAGGGAGUAAGGCAUCAAGGAUCUGAACAGGGUCCUGCUCAAAUUGCAAGAUCGCCGAAAACUCUGCUGUUUUAGUCCUCAUAAUGUCUCUUUCCACUGUCAAUUUGCCUUCCUUGGUUGUCAAUCUGAAGAACUCAUCCUCGGCUGCAUCAACACAGUUCCCAUUUAUGUCACAGAUCUCUCCUUUUGGAGACAACGGAAGCAGAGUGUGAAUCACUGGUUCGGCCUUCACUAAUGAAACGAACUUAGUGUACAAAAGCUCUACCUUAUCCACCUCUUCACUUAUGAAAAGGGAGAAGACAUCAUCUGCAAUUGCUUGAGCUUCUUUAGCAGUGGGAAGAGAAGUACCAUCAAGAAAUCUGUCUACCGGAAUAUAAGGCCUGCGGAUAAAAUAUGCGUUACCCUUUUUCCCCACACUGAUUAUAGUGUAAUCAAGGCCAAGUCCCUUCAAUUCUGCUA
rnacentral:lncRNA from 1 species